CCUACGGGGGGCUGCAGUGGGGAAUAUUGGACAAUGGGGGCAACCCUGAUCCAGCCAUGCCGCGUGUGUGAAGAAGGCCCUCGGGCUGUAAAGCACUUUCAGUGAGGAAGAACGCCUGGUGGUUAAUACCCAUCAGGAAAGACAUCACUCACAGAAGAAGCACCGGCUAACUCCGUGCCAGCAGCCGCGGUAAUACGGAGGGUGCGAGCGUUAAUCGGAAUUACUGGGCGUAAAGCGCGCGUAGGUGGCUUGAUAAGCCGGUUGUGAAAGCCCCGGGCUCAACCUGGGAACGGCAUCCGGAACUGUCAAGCUAGAGUGCAGGAGAGGAAGGUAGAAUUCCCGGUGUAGCGGUGAAAUGCGUAGAGAUCGGGAGGAAUACCAGUGGCGAAGGCGGCCUUCUGGACUGACACUGACACUGAGGUGCGAAAGCGUGGGUAGCAAACAGGAUUAGAUACCCGGGUAGUC
rnacentral:rRNA from 1 species